GGACAACUACAACGAAGCACCGGCCGGCAUGGCAAACGCAAUGCAGAACAUUGCGCCGCAUACCGGCCGGCUCUGCUGUCCCCCUGUGCAGGAUUAGUGGCACCAUCUGGGAUCUUUGGUGGCGAUGGCUGGACUUGGAGAUGGCGUGCGUUGUGGGCAAAAGUUGGAGAUGGCGAGCGGCUCUGGUCCGGCCGCCCACGUUGCAUCUGUCUGUUGGUGCCUUUCGUCAUUUUAAUUGUUGUUGCUGGCGACCUUUGUCCGGUUUGUGAUGGCGUGAGAGGCGUUUGCAGGAUUUGCUGGCGUCCGGCGGCUCAACACCAGGCCAUCCC